GCCUCCCGGCAGUAGGUGGCAGUGUGAGACUGUGGUUUACCCUCAGGGACCAUGACCAAGAGCGCAUGCUCCGCCGUUUUCCCUCAAUAACUGCGGAGAUUUCAGCGAGGAAACACCACGUCUCUCUCUGUCUCACCCUUUUUCCUGUAUUUCAGCACUACGGCUGAGAGAAGACAGAGCAAAUGGAUUUCCAAACAUGAGGAAAUGAAAAGCAAAUGGCACCUUUGUCCAAGACGUGAGAUCGUCCAGGCGGAAGGGCUUUGAAGCGUAGGGUGAAAUUGAAAAGGUUGCAGGUUCACAUCCCUGGACAAUGACAGCCCCUCUGCCUCCACUCCUGCAGCUCACAGGAGAUUAGAAGAGCAAGAGAGAUAAGAAGCAGCAUUGGCUAAAUGUUUUUUUUUUCUGGGCUGGACAAAUCGAAAAAGCUGAAGUGCUCCAGUUAGCCAGAAGACAGACAAAUAGACAGAGACAGACUGGCAGAGCGAGGACACAAAGUGAAUCAUUCAGAACUGACCUUGGCUUGAUUGUUGCACAUAAACUGGUAUUCUGGUUCAAAAAUACAAAAGCUGGGUACGCAAGAUCAAUAAUAAAAACACAGUAUCAAAGAGUAGAUUUAAAAAAUCAUAUAAAAUGGUUAGAAGUACCAAGAGAUAAGUUGUCCAAGGUAGUGAUAAUUUCUUCAUUCUGAGAUCAAACGUUCAAGAUGUAACUGUACUUGUAGUGCAUUUCUUAGGCACAGAGUACAUACAACUGGAAUUAACAUACACGCACAAAUGCACACAAAUUCUCUCAAGCAGUGCAACUUCUUUGAGCUCUUUGCGACCCACAUAAAAUAUGAUAAUACAUGCAGUCAGCCUGCAAAAUAGGUGAGGCUUUAGGGAAAUGAUGAAGGACCACAGUGCAGCAAAGGCCACCACGCACAACAUCCUGCUGUUCCCCAGAGAUACACACUGUUCUCCUCACUCACUCUGUGGACUACUCAUCCUCCAAAUUAAAAACUAAAUGAGCCACUAUCAUCUUCCAUCUAUAAUGUGCAGUGUAAAUUUACUAUGUCCUCAAUAUUUAGCUUCAGUUGUUUGUCUUUCCUCAUCUGAAUGGCAUCAUGAAAGAAUUACUGUUGAAUUUAUGUAGACUGGCAAGACUUUCAGAAAACAGUUAUUCCAAAAUAAAGAGUAGUUUAUACUUAAAUUUUUUUUUAGUGUUUCCAAGGCUACAGUCAUAUGCCACACCUUUACCAGAUUCAGAAACGGCUUUAACACAGAUUUCAUCAUUCCACCAUCUAGACUUAAACUUCAUCCUAUGGCAGGAUGAAAGAUGUCCAUACAUAUUUCAUCUCACAAACACCCAAUCUAUUUCAUUAAAGCAGGGAGCGAGAGAAGCUGUACUAAACAUGUCUGCAUUUUUAUUUUCCUUAAAAGAGAAUUAUUAAAAUUCAGCUUUCAGUGGUCUGUCCAUUGGUCUGUCAGGACUGUGUUCUCUUUUCUACUGCGUCUCCUGCGGGUUUGGACCCACCUGAUGUUUGAAUUAGCUGGUUUAAAUGACAGGGCCGCCUCAGAGAGACGCCCACAGGCCCCGCUCUCCCAGGGUUUCAAAGGCCCAGCGACCCGGUUGCUGUCGGCUGUCAGGGAGGAGAUGGGAACGUGUGGCGGCGAGAUAACCUGUACGGGACAGAGCCCAGAGUCGUGUGCCUCUUUGACAGGCUUAUUAACGGUAAACUGCCAAGGAAAAAGCCCCUAUCGGGCAGAGGGAUCAGGGGAGAAGAAACCUUCCCUUAUCACCAGGACACCAGGGAUUAAAGCCUGGCCAGCUCUGAUAAAUUAAUUAUUCUCUCUUAUCUGUCAUGUUUAAAGACUGUCAGACAAACCCACCUAGAGCCACAGUGCUGGACAACCUAUGCUAUGAUGAGAGAGAACGGAACCAGCCUAUGCUAUAUGUGCAAAUCUGGUUCUCUCUGGAUGCUCCUUUGUCCAGUCUGCUAGCUAAAUGAAAACAAAAGGCAGAAAAGGAGAAGGUUUUCAAGUACACAAAAUACUGUUUAGUAAGGUUGUAAAGGGAAAAAGUAAGAGUGAAUCACAUAACAAUUCUUAUGUAUCUCUAAUUCAUCAUAAUAUUCUGUGCAGC